CUGGCGGCGUGCUUAACACAUGCAAGUCGAACGCGAAAGGGACUUCGGUCCUGAGUAAAGUGGCGCACGGGCGAGUAACGCGUAGAUAACCUGUCUUCAUGUCUGGAAUAAUACGCCGAAAGGGGUACUAAUACCGGAUAUUCUUGCUUUUCAUAAGUUAUGCAAGCAAAGGUGGCCUCUGCAUAUGCUACUGCAUGAAGAGGGGUCUGCGUACCAUUAGCUAGUAGGUGGGGUAAUGGCCUACCUAGGCGACGAUGGUUAGCGGGUCUGAGAGGAUGAUCCGCCACACUGGCACUGGAACACGGGCCAGACUCCUACGGGAGGCAGCAGUGAGGAAUAUUGCGCAAUGGGGGAAACCCUGACGCAGCGACGCCGCGUGAGUGAGGGAAAGGCCUUCGGGUCGUAAAGCUCUGUCAAGAGGAAAGAAGUGUACAAUGGCUAAUACCUGUUGUAUUUGACGGUACCUCUAAAGGAAGCACCGGCUAACUCCGUGCCAGCAGCUGC
rnacentral:rRNA from 1 species